GAUUGAACGCUGGCGGCAGGCCUAACACAUGCAAGUCGAGCGGUAGCACAAGAGAGCUUGCUCUCUGGGUGACGAGCGGCGGACGGGUGAGUAAUGUCUGGGAAACUGCCUGAUGGAGGGGGAUAACUACUGGAAACGGUAGCUAAUACCGCAUGACGUCUUCGGACCAAAGUGGGGGACCUUCGGGCCUCACGCCAUCAGAUGUGCCCAGAUGGGAUUAGCUAGUAGGUGGGGUAAUGGCUCACCUAGGCGACGAUCUCUAGCUGGUCUGAGAGGAUGACCAGCCACACUGGAACUGAGACACGGUCCAGACUCCUACGGGAGGCAGCAGUGGGGAAUAUUGCACAAUGGGCGCAAGCCUGAUGCAGCCAUGCCGCGUGUAUGAAGAAGGCCUUCGGGUUGUAAAGUACUUUCAGCGAGGAGGAAGGCAUUAAGGUUAAUAACCUUAGUGAUUGACGUUACUCGCAGAAGAAGCACCGGCUAACUCCGUGCCAGCAGCCGCGGCAAUACGGAGGGUGCAAGCGUUUAAUCGGAAUUACUGGGCGUAAAGCGCACGCAGGCGGUUGAUUUAAGUCAGAUGUGAAAUCCCCGAGCUUAACUUGGGAACUGCAUUUGAAACUGGUCAGCUAGAGUCUUGUAGAGGGGGGUAGAAUUCCAGGUGUAGCGGUGAAAUGCGUAGAGAUCUGGAGGAAUACCGGUGGCGAAGGCGGCCCCCUGGACAAAGACUGACGCUCAGGUGCGAAAGCGUGGGGAGCAAACAGGAUUAGAUACCCUGGUAGUCCACGCUGUAAACGAUGUCGACUUGGAGGUUGUGCCCUUGAGGCGUGGCUUCCGGAGCUAACGCGUUAAGUCGACCGCCUGGGGAGUACGGCCGCAAGGUUAAAACUCAAAUGAAUUGACGGGGGCCCGCACAAGCGGUGGAGCAUGUGGUUUAAUUCGAUGCAACGCGAAGAACCUUACCUACUCUUGACAUCCAGAGAAUUUGCUAGAGAUAGCUUAGUGCCUUCGGGAACUCUGAGACAGGUGCUGCAUGGCUGUCGUCAGCUCGUGUUGUGAAAUGUUGGGUUAAGUCCCGCAACGAGCGCAACCCUUAUCCUUUGUUGCCAGCACGUAAUGGUGGGAACUCAAAGGAGACUGCCGGUGAUAAACCGGAGGAAGGUGGGGAUGACGUCAAGUCAUCAUGGCCCUUACGAGUAGGGCUACACACGUGCUACAAUGGCAUAUACAAAGAGAAGCGAACUCGCGAGAGCAAGCGGACCUCAUAAAGUAUGUCGUAGUCCGGAUUGGAGUCUGCAACUCGACUCCAUGAAGUCGGAAUCGCUAGUAAUCGUAGAUCAGAAUGCUACGGUGAAUACGUUCCCGGGCCUUGUACACACCGCCCGUCACACCAUGGGAGUGGGUUGCAAAAGAAGUAGGUAGCUUAACCUUCGGGAGGGCGCUUACCACUUUGUGAUUCAUGACUGGG
rnacentral:rRNA from 1 species